UACGUAGGGUGCAAGCGUUAAUCGGAAUUACUGGGCGUAAAGCGUGCGCAGGCGGUGAUGUAAGACAGAUGUGAAAUCCCCGGGCUCAACCUGGGAACUGCAUUUGUGACUGCAUCGCUAGAGUACGGCAGAGGGGGGGUAGAAUUCCACGUGUAGCAGUGAAAUGCGUAGAGAUGUGGAGGAAUACCGAUGGCGAAGGCAGCCCCCUGGGAUAACACUGACGCUCAUGCACGAAAGCGUGGGGAGCAAACAGG
rnacentral:rRNA from 1 species